UACGGGGGGAGCAAGCGUUGUUCGGAUUUAUUGGGCGUAAAGAGCGUGUAGGCGGCCAGGUAGGUCCGUUGUGAAAACUCGAGGCUUAACCUCGAGACGUCGAUGGAAACCAUCUGGCUAGAGUCCGGAAGAGGAGAGUGGAAUUCCUGGUGUAGCGGUGAAAUGCGCAGAUAUCAGGAAGAACACCCGUGGCGAAGGCGGCUCUCUGGGACGUGACUGACGCUGAGACGCGAAAGCGUGGGGAGCAAACAGG
rnacentral:rRNA from 1 species